GCCCCCGGUAGCUCAAUUGGCAGAGCAGCGGUGCACCGUAAAACAGAGAGCAAGGAUGUGGGUUCAAAUCCCACCCGGGGCGC
rnacentral:tRNA from 1 species